rnacentral:rRNA from 1 species
GAUGAACGCUGGCGGCGUGCUUAACACAUGCAAGUCGAACGGAAAGGCCCAAGCUUGCUUGGGUACUCGAGUGGCGAACGGGUGAGUAACACGUGGGUGAUCUGCCCUGCACUUCGGGAUAAGCCUGGGAAACUGGGUCUAAUACCGGAUAGGACCACAUUUUGGAUGGUGUGGUGGAAAGUUUUUCGGUGUGGGAUGAGCUCGCGGCCUAUCAGCUUGUUGGUGGGGUAAUGGCGUACCAAGGCGUCGACGGGUAGCCGGCCUGAGAGGGUGUACGGCCACAUUGGGACUGAGAGAGGGCCCAGACUCCGACGGGUGGCAGAAGGGGGGAAUAUUGCACAAUGGGCGCAAGCCUGAGGCAGGGAGGCCGCGUGGGGGAUGACGGCCUUCGGGUUGUAAACUCCUUUCGCUAGGGACGAAGCGUUUUUGUGACGGUACCUGGAGAAGAAGCACCGGCUAACUACGUG